rnacentral:rRNA from 1 species
GAGGAAUAUUGGUCAAUGGACGAGAGUCUGAACCAGCCAAGUAGCGUGAAGGAUGACUGCCCUAUGGGUUGUAAACUUCUUUUAUACGGGAAUAAAGUGAGGCACGUGUGCCUUUUUGUAUGUACCGUAUGAAUAAGGAUCGGCUAACUCCGUGCCAGCAGCCGCGGUAAUACGGAGGAUCCGAGCGUUAUCCGGAUUUAUUGGGUUUAAAGGGAGCGUAGGCGGACGCUUAAGUCAGUUGUGAAAGUUUGCGGCUCAACCGUAAAAUUGCAGUUGAUACUGGGUGUCUUGAGUACAGUAGAGGCAGGCGGAAUUCGUGGUGUAGCGGUGAAAUGCUUAGAUAUCACGAAGAACUCCGAUUGCGAAGGCAGCUUGCUGGACUGUAACUGACGCUGAUGCUCGAAAGUGUGGGUAUCAAACAGGAUUAGAUACCCUGGUAGUCCACACAGUAAACGAUGAAUACUCGCUGUUUGCGAUAUACAGUAAGCGGCCAAGCGAAAGCGUUAAGUAUUCCACCUGGGGAGUACGCCGGCAACGGUGAAACUCAAAGGAAUUGACGGGGGCCCGCACAAGCGGAGGAACAUGUGGUUUAAUUCGAUGAUACGCGAGGAACCUUACCCGGGCUUGAAUUGCAACUGAAUGAUGUGGAGACAUGUCAGCCGCAAGGCAGUUGUGAAGGUGCUGCAUGGUUGUCGUCAGCUCGUGCCGUGAGGUGUCGGCUUAAGUGCCAUAACGAGCGCAACCCUUAUCGAUAGUUACCAUCAGGUUAUGCUGGGGACUCUGUCGAGACUGCCGUCGUAAGAUGUGAGGAAGGUGGGGAUGACGUCAAAUCAGCACGGCCCUUACGUCCGGGGCUACACACGUGUUACAAUGGGGGUACAGAAGGCAGCUACACGGCGACGUGAUGCUAAUCCCGAAAGCCUCUCUCAGUUCGGAUUGGAGUCUGCAACCCGACUCCAUGAAGCUGGAUUCGCUAGUAAUCGCGCAUCAGCCACGGCGCGGUGAAUACGUUCCCG